CCCUCUAUAUGUUUUCUAGAAUCCGAUGAAGAGUGCUACCUUCGAUCGUUUUGUCGCUGUCGACCACUGUGUCGACCGUCGUCUCCGGUGACCGUUAAAUCCCAAAAUACACCGGUAGACUCUCUCUAACGUCGAGAAUACAUAUUCGGGCUUAGUUUAGAGAGAAUCGGAACGUAACUCUUCAAAACAGGUCUAGAACCCUUCGACUUUCACCUCGUCGAUUUUCUCCAUCAGUCGUUUGAUCAAAUUUAUUCUGAAGUAUGCUGCUCUUGGGGAUACAUCGUGCCUUCUCACGGUUCAGAUUAAACAAGAAAGGUCCCAAUCAUCACAGACGUCGUUGGCAGAGAGGGGGCCACCUGGAAGACCAACUGGCAUGGAGGAGUUGUGGAUGGGGGCUUGCUGGCACAGCUUCUGGAGUGUUCGGUUGAGGGAGGGAUUGGUUUGGAGUUGGGAAGCAUCUGGAAUGGAGAUGGGCAGAGGCGACGCCUGGAGAACCUCAAUGGGGUUUCAAAACCCUAACGCAUGGAGUGAUCUGAACCGUGAAUCCCAGCUGAAUCUGAUGGUGGUGGAAAGCUGGCGGCUGGUGACGAAGUAAUUAAGGUUUUUCGUAACCCUAUCAUGCGAGCUUCAUCAAUUAAGUCCUUUGUUGGCUGGAUCCAUUUGUGAUACCGAGGUUGUAAAUUUUAUUUCUAGUUGGGUUUGGAGGUUAGGGAUGUAAAAUCGGGUAAUCGUUCAGGUUUCAGUCAAAUCCUGUCAGGUUGGAUAAAAUCGGAUACAUGUCAAGUUAUGUAAAUUUGAUGUUUCGACUCGGAUCAGGUCGAGUCCAGGUCAAAUUAGGUCGGGUCAUUUUCAGGUUGAUUUAACACCGUACAGUUCGGGUUCAGGUCGGGUUAUUUUCAGUUCGGAUCGAUGUCAGUUCAGGUCCGGAAUAGAUAAAAAGCAGGUUAAUUUAGGUUCGGAUGGCCUUCAGGCAUAUCUCGUUCAGAUUGGGUCACAUUAUUGUCUGAUAAAAUUUAGGUCGGAUUUCUAUCAGAUACAGAUUGAGUUCAAAUUGGGUUAAUUUUUAUUUUUGGAUUAAUUAUUUUCGUCUUUCGU